rnacentral:rRNA from 1 species
AAUAGAUACCCCGGGGUAGUCCACGCCGUAAACGAUGAGUACUAAGUGUUGGGGCCAAGCCUCAGUGCUGCAGUUAACGCAUUAAGUACUCCGCCUGAGUAGUACGCACGCAAGUGUGAAACUCAAAGGAAUUGACGGGACCCCGCACAAGCGGUGGAUCAUGUUGUUUAAUUCGACGAUACACGAAGAACCUUACCAGGUCUUGACAUACCAUGCAAAGGCUUAGAAAUAAGUACGGAGGUUAACAUGGAUACAGGUGGUGCACGGUUGUCGUCAGCUCGUGUCGUGAGAUGUUGGGUUAAGUCCCGCAACGAGCGCAACCCUUAUUGCUAGUUACCAUCAUUAAGUUGGGGACUCUAGCGAGACUGCCAGUGAUAAACUGGAGGAAGGUGGGGAUGACGUCAAAUCAUCAUGCCCCUUAUGACCUGGGCUACAAACGUGAUACAAUGGCUGAAACAAAGGGAAGCGGUACCGCGAGGUGGAGCGAAUCCCAAAAAAGCAGUCUCAAGUUCGGAUUGAAGUCUGCAACUCGAA